UGAGGAAUAUUGGGCAAUGCCCGCAAGGGUGACCCAGCAACGCCGCGUGGAGGAUGAAUGUCGUAAGAUUGUAAACUCCUGUUAGAGGGGAAGAAUAGUACCGGUUGGACCGGUAUAUGACUGUACCCUCAGAGAAAGCCCCGGCUAACUACGUGCCAGCAGCCGCGGUAAUACGUAGGGGGCAAGCGUUGUCCGGAUUUACUGGGUGUAAAGGGCGCGCAGGCGGGAUAAAAAGUCAGUGGUGAAAUCCUACAGCUUAACUGUAGAACUGCCUUUGAUACUUUUAUUCUUGAGUUCGGGAGAGGGAGACGGAAAUCCAGGUGUAGUGGUGAAAUACGUAGAUAUCUGGAAGAACACCAGUGGCGAAGGCGGUCUCUUAGUCCGACACUGACGCUGAGGCGCGAAAGCGUGGGGAGCAAACA
rnacentral:rRNA from 1 species